UUUCUUUUCCUUCAAGAUUCAAGCUGUCAUUAUUUCUGGGUUUUAUCAAUUUCAUUUAUUUUUAUUGUUUUAUUCUCUAUUAUGUUUUUAUUUUCUUUUUUGAUGUCUAGCUAGUUUUCUCUUCUAAUUCCAGAGUUUGUAUAUAGUUGAUUGAAUUUAUGUGAUUGAUUUAUUGAUACCUUUUUGCCUUUGAGAUUCUGAUUUACAAUUCCUGGUGCUUGUUUCUUGUGGAU
rnacentral:lncRNA from 1 species